GAUGAAUGCUGGCGGCGUGCCUAACACAUGCAAGUCGAGCGGCAGCGAGGGGUGCUUGCACCCUGUCGGCGAGCGGCGAACGGCUGAGUAACGCGUAGGAAUUUUCCCCAAAGUGAGGAAUAACUGCCCGAAAGGGUAGCUAAUGCCGCAUAUGGUCUUCGGAUUAAAGGAUUUAUCCGCUUUGGGAGCAGCCUGCGUUGGAUUAGGUUGUUGGUAGGGUAAUGGCCUACCAAGCCGACGAUCCAUAGCUGGUCUGAGAGGAUGAUCAGCCAGACUGGAACUGAGACACGGUCCAGACUCCUACGGGAGGCAGCAGUGAGGAAUCUUCCACAAUGGGCGAAAGCCUGAUGGAGCAACGCCGCGUGAAGGAUGAAGGCCUUCGGGUUGUAAACUUCCUUUAUGAGUGAAGAAUAUGACGGUAACUCAUGAAUAAGCACCGGCUAACUACGUG
rnacentral:rRNA from 1 species